rfam:Agrilus planipennis Contig8423, whole genome shotgun sequence.
UCCUAACCUCUUUCCAUUGAACCUUUCCUGGGAUGUAUAACCUCCGGGUUGAUCUCCUUACUCGAGGAGGGGAUUUAGUCGGUAGGCGCUUCGGCGAAUCCGACACUACCCCCAUUCAGGGGGUGUCUUUUGAAAAUUUCCCCUCCUCGAGGAAA